CAACAUUCAACAGACUCCUUAAAAAUCCCAAGUGUUUAUAUACUUCUCCCUGUCCAUAGUCAGUCAUAUUGUUAUACCUUGUCCGCAAUAACUUUGGAACUUUAUCUAACACCAUGAAAUGGGGUACUUCAUCAUCCCUCGGCCUCUUGUCACUCCUUCCGACCGAGUUCAUAUUGCCCUAUAGGAUAAAGAUGGAAAGUAAGAAUUCUAUUCUAAA
rnacentral:lncRNA from 1 species